AUGAACGCUGGCGGCGUGCUUAACACAUGCAAGUCGAACGAAGCAUUUAAGACAGAUUACUUCGGUUUGAAGUCUUUUAUGACUGAGUGGCGGACGGGUGAGUAACGCGUGGGUAACCUGCCUCAUACAGGGGGAUAGCAGCUGGAAACGGCUGGUAAUACCGCAUAAGCGCACAGUACCACAUGGUACAGUGUGAAAAACUCCGGUGGUAUGAGAUGGACCCGCGUCUGAUUAGCUUGUUGGCGGGGUAACGGCCCACCAAGGCGACGAUCACUAGCCGACCUGAGAGGGUGACCGGCCACAUUGGGACUGAGACACGGCCCAGACUCCUACGGGAGGCAGCAGUGGGGAAUAUUGCACAAUGGAGGAAACUCUGAUGCAGCGACGCCGCGUGAGUGAAGAAGUAGUUCGCUAUGUAAAGCUCUAUCAGCAGGGAAGAUAGUGACGGUACCUGACUAAGAAGCUCCGGCUAAAUACGUG
rnacentral:rRNA from 1 species